CGUAGGGUGCGAGCGUUAAUCGGAAUUACUGGGCGUAAAGUGUGCGCAGGCGGCGUUGCAAGUCGAGUGUGAGAUCCCCGAGCUUAACUUGGGAAUUGCGCUCGAAACUACGAUGCUCGAGUAUGGCAGAGGAAGGUGGAAUUCCACGUGUAGCGGUGAAAUGCGUAGAGAUGUGGAGGAACACCGAUGGCGAAGGCAGCCUUCUGGGCCAAUACUGACGCUCAUGCACGAAAGCGUGGGGAGCAAACAGGAUUAGAUACCCUGGUAGUCCACGCCCUAAACGAUGAUGACUAGUUGUUGGAGGAGUUAAAUCCUUUAGUAACGCAGCUAACGCGUGAAGUCAUCCGCCUGGGGAGUACGGUCGCAAGAUUA
rnacentral:rRNA from 1 species